GGUGCACCACUGAGGGGGUGAGCCGGGAUGCCUAUGAGCACAGGGGGAAGAACCGGAUUACUGGUGAGUUUUCGGCUGUCGGAACUUCAGUUGCAGUAGACUCCAGUGAGGAAGUUUGAAAGGUGCCUUGGUCUGCUUCCAACUCAGAGUGAAGGUCAAUGAGAGGAGGUAAGAGGGGUAUAUCGGAGGUAGGGGUUGAG
rnacentral:lncRNA from 1 species